AUGAGUCUCAUCUGCUGGAACUGCCGUGGGGCUGGCAAACCCGCGACAGUUCGAGAGCUUUGUGAUCUAACGAAGCAAUAUGCCCCCUCUGUACUUUGCAUCCUUGAUACGCAAAUAGAGGGAACUAGAGUUGAGAAUAUGGUCGGUUCUUUAGGUUUUAAUAAGAGCUUUGCUGUUAGUAGCUCGGGGAGAAGUGGUGGUCUAGGAAUUUUUUGGAAUGAAGAAAUAAAGCUUGAGAUUGUUGGUUAUUCGCAGUACCAUAUUGAUGCACUUAUUGAUGAUCUUGUAGAUGUGAAAAUAAGGGUAACCUUUGUCUAUGGGGAAGCUCAGCUCAAUGAAAGACACAAAACAUGGAACACGCUAAGAGGAAUCAUAGGCACCAAUGAUACACCUUGGCUAGUCUUGGGUGUCGUGGUUCUAAGUCUGACGGUAGAAUGGGGGGUAGGUAUGGAGAGGCAAGAUCCUAGCUAUGGAGUAGUUGUACACACGAGUGUUUGGCGAGUUCAGGCCCUUCUCGGAGGAAGUAACAGCCCUACGUCUCGGAGCCCGGAGGCGGUCGACUGA
rnacentral:rRNA from 1 species